GACGAACGCUGGCGGCGUGCCUAACACAUGCAAGUCGAACGGAGAUAUUCGCUGAUGAAGUACUUCGGUAAUGAUUCUUGAAUAUCUUAGUGGCGGACGGGUGAGUAACGCGUGAGCAACCUGCCUUUCAGAGGGGGAUAACGUUUGGAAACGAACGCUAAUACCGCAUGAUAUCAUUGGACCGCAUGAUCUGAUGAUCAAAGGAGCAAUCCGCUGAAAGAUGGGCUCGCGUCCGAUUAGGUAGUUGGUGAGGUAACGGCCCACCAAGCCGACGAUCGGUAGCCGGACUGAGAGGUUGAACGGCCACAUUGGGACUGAGACACGGCCCAG
rnacentral:rRNA from 1 species